GGACGCUUAGCCUAGCAGACACCUGCCUUACAAGCAGAGGGUCGGCGGUUCGAUCCCGUCAGCGUCCACCA
rnacentral:tRNA from 1 species